ensembl:snRNA U6 U6 spliceosomal RNA
GUGCUCACUUCGGCAGCACAUAUACAGAAUUGGAACAAUACAGUGAAGAUUAGCAUGCUCCCUGUGCAAGGAUGACAUGAAAAUUCAUGAAGCAUUUCAUAUUUUA